GACGAACGCUGGCGGCGUGCCUAACACAUGCAAGUCGAGCGAGUGAAUCUCCUUCGGGAGUGAAACUAGCGGCGGACGGGUGAGUAACACGUGGGCAACCUGCCUCAUAGAGAGGAAUAGUCUUUCGAAAGGAAGAUUAAUACCGCAUAAGAUUGUAGCUUCGCAUGAAGUAGCAAUUAAAGGAGUAAUCCGCUAUGGGAUGGGCCCGCGGCGCAUUAGCUAGUUGGUGAGGUAACGGCUCACCAAGGCGACGAUGCGUAGCCGACCUGAGAGGGUGAUCGGCCACAUUGGGACUGAGACACGGCCCAGACUCCUACGGGAGGCAGCAGUGGGGAAUAUUGCACAAUGGGGGAAACCCUGAUGCAGCAACGCCGCGUGAGUGAUGACGGCCUUCGGGUUGUAAAGCUCUGUCUUCAGGGACGAUAAUGACGGUACCUGAGGAGGAAGCCACGGCUAACUACGUGCCAGCAGCCGCCGUAA
rnacentral:rRNA from 1 species